rnacentral:rRNA from 1 species
UAGUGAUAUGCUCUGUCUCAAAGAUUAAGCCAUGCAUGUCUGAGUACAGACCGAUCUAAGGUGAAACCGCGAAUGGCUCAUUAAAUCAGUCAUAAUUCCUUGGAUAGUGAUAAACUUCCUCGGAUAACUGUGGAAAAUCCAGAGCUAAUACGUGCAACUGAGUUCCGACCUCGGCGUGAGCCUUGGGAAGAACGCAUUUAUUAGAUUCAAAACUGACCGGCGUACUCCUCCGGGAUGCGCCGUUCGUCAAAUGUUUGAUGACUCCGGAUAACUUAGCCGAGCGCUACGGUCUUUAGUACCGGCGCCGUAUCUUUCAAGUGUCUGCCUUAUCAGCUUUCGAUUGUAGGUUAAACGCCUACAAUGGCUGUAACGGGUAACGGGGAAUCAGGGUUCGAUUCCGGAGAGGGAGCCUGAGAAACGGCUACCACAUCUAAGGAAGGCAGCAGGCACGCAAAUUACCCACUCCCAGCCCGGGGAGGUAGUGACGAAAAAUAACGAUGCGAGACUCUUCCGAGGCCUCGCAAUCGGAAUGAGUUCAUUUUAAAACUUUGGACGAGGAUCCAUUGGAGGGCAAGUCUGGUGCCAGCAGCCGCGGUAAUUCCAGCUCCAAUAGCGUAUAUUAAAGUUGCUGCGGUUAAAAAGCUCGUAGUUGGACUUCCUAGAUCCAUUUCGCGAGCGAGUCGCUCGUUGAGCUAGCGUUACGAGUCAGUCACUGGAUGACGUUGGGUCGCGCGCGUUCAGCGUGAGUAUUUCUCUUUCGGGAGUUUGCUUAUCGUUGUUUCACGUCGGCACGUACGGAGUCUAGCGGACGUCGAAUCGUUGUCUUCGAGUAUUGCUCGUUCGCGUCUGGUACAAUUAAAAAUUUGUCGGCUCAUUCGGAGUGCUCUUUACCGAGUGUUCCAGGAUGGCUGACACGUUCACUUUGAAAAAAUUAGAGUGCUCAAAGCGGGCUGAAACCAACGGCCUGAAUGUCUGUGCAUGGAAUGAAGUAACAGGACCUCGAUUCUGUUUUUUUUGUCGGUUUUAUUGAACCGAGGUAAUGAUUAAAAGGGACAGACGGUGGCAUUAGUAUUGCGGCGCUAGAGGUGAAAUUCUUGGACCGCUGCAAGACUAACUACUGCGAAAGCAUUUGCCGAGAAUGUUUUCAUUAAUCAAGAACGAAAGUUAGAGGAUCGAAGGCGAUCAGAUACCGCCCUAGUUCUAACCCUAAACUAUGCUAACUAGCGAUCCGCCGGAGUCAUUCCCACGACCCGGCGGGAAGCCCCAGGGAAACCAAAGUUUUUGAGUUCCGGGGGAAGUAUGGUUGCAAAGCUGAAACUUAAAGGAAUUGACGGAAGGGCACCACCAGGAGUGGAGCCUGCGGCUUAAUUUGACUCAACACGGGAAACCUCACCAGGCCCGGACAUCAUAAGGAUUGACAGGUUGAGAGCUCUUUCUCGAUUUGAUGGGUGGUGGUGCAUGGCCGUUCUUAGUUGGUGGAGUGAUCUGUCUGGUUGAUUCCGAUAACGAACGAGACUCUACCCUGCUAACUAGUCGGCGGAUCGUAACCCUGAGAUGGUUAGUUUGUAUAGGAUGGUUUUGCCGAGGUGUACGUUCAUGCCGUUCGUUAUCGCGCGGCGGGUGUUUGUGGUUGGGAUCUCCUGGCCCGCGCUCGUUCGUGUGGUAAUCGGAUGUGUGUGGCUAUGUCGAAGCUUCCGUUUGAUUACUGCUACUACUGGGGGCGUCCGUCGCAAUGUAUCUUCUUAGAGGGAUCAGCGGCGUUUAGCCGCACGAGAAAGAGCAAUAACAGGUCUGUGAUGCCCUUAGAUGUUCUGGGCCGCACGCGCGCUACAAUGUAAGGACCAGCGUGCUUUCCCCUUCCGAAAGGAACGGGUAACCCGUUGAAAGCCCUACCCGAUAGGGAUUGGGGAUUGCAAAUAUUUCCCAUAAACGAGGAAUUCCCAGUAAGCGUGAGUCACUAACUCGCGCUGAUUACGUCCCUGCCCUUUGUACACACCGCCCGUCGCUACUACCGAUUGAAUGAUUCAGUGAGGGCAUCGGACUGGCGCCUUCGGUUUAGUAACAUAGACCUUAGGCUGACGGAAAGAUGUCCGAACUUGAUCAUUUAGAGGAAGUAAAAGUCGUAACAAGGUUUCCGUAGUG